rnacentral:rRNA from 1 species
AUUGAACGCUGGCGGAAUGCUUUACACAUGCAAGUCGAACGGUAGAGGGGCAACCCUUGAGAGUGGCGAACGGGUGAGUAAUGUAUCGGAACAUGCCCAGUCGUGGGGGAUAACGUAGCGAAAGUUACGCUAAUACCGCAUACGAUCUAUGGAUGAAAGCGGGGGAUCGCAAGACCUCGCGCGAUUGGAGUGGCCGAUAUGAGAUUAGGUCGUUGGUGGGGUAAAGGCCUACCAAGCCGACGAUCUGUAGCUGGUCGGAGAGGACGACCAGCCACACUGGGACUGGGACACGGCCCAGACUCCUACGGGAGGCAGCAGUGGGGAAUUUUGGACAAUGGGCGCAAGCCUGAUCCAGCCAUUCCGCGUGCAGGAAGAAGGCCUUCGGGUUGUAAACUGCUUUUGUACGGAACGAAACGCGCUGAGCUAAUACCUUGGCGUAAUGACGGUACCGUAAGAAUAAGCACCGGCUAACUACGUGCCAGCCGCCGCCGUAAGAC